AUACUUUAAAACAACGAAAGCCCUGCCUCUCUUCCGUCCUUGCGGCUCCUAGACCGCGCCAGUGUGAAUCAAAGUUCUUACUGUUCG
rfam:Paenibacillus sp. JDR-2, complete genome.